UGACUGCCAGGGCACUUGGGAAUGGCAAGGAAACCGUUACCAUUACUGAGUUUAGUAAUGGUAAUGGUUCUCUUGCUAUACCCAGAAAACGUGCCAGGAAGA
rnacentral:precursor_RNA from 1 species